AGCUCUGGCAGGAGGGGCAGGUUGGCACCUCUACACAGCGGCUGGGAGCAUGGAGACCACUCACCCGUCACCUGCCACAAACCACUAGUCAUGGAGGGUGGACUCCCAGGCCACAGACUGACCAGGACUCAGACACAGGGUCUCGUUCUGUCACUCAGGCUGGAGUGCAGUGGCAAGAUCAUAGCUUGCUGCAACCUUGAACUCCUGGGCUCAAGUGAUGCUCCUACCUCAGCCUCCCGAGUAGUUGGGACCACAGGACUGUCUCCUGGCCCAGUCCCAGACAGUUCACAGCUGAGGAGGAACAAAGCAGAGGAAAGGGACGUGGCGUGACGUGCUGGGAGUGAAACGCUGACACCUCCGUGGCCAUCUGGGACCACGACCUGCACUACUGCCCUCACACCCGGACCUGGAGCUGCCACUUCCUGCCUGCUUCCCAGAAUAGCUGGGCUCAUCCUCUGAGCAGGCUGCCCUGCCUUCCUCUGUCUCUGCUCAGGACAGAGACUCCUCCUAGGACACCAAACA